CCAUUUUUUAGCUUGAGCUCAAGCUUUUGAGCUCCGAUUUGAGCACCGAGAUGAACGCCGAUCAUCUUUUCGAUCACGUAUCUAAGUAGGUCCUUUUGGGAAGUAACGACUUGAGGGAGAGAGUGACGUUACUCAUUGAUACAGAGACACAACGAGGUUGAGCUGAUGUGAUGAUGGUGCUGCAAUGAGCGGAGUCUCCAGGGUUGUUAAUAAAUAGUUAACCUGUCUAGAAUAUGUCUUCAUACAUAUGUCUAGCUACUUUCCGCUGCAAGAUGUUGUUGAUGUUAUAGUAUGUUAUGUCAUACUUUGAGUCUUAAGAGAAUGGUUUCAUACGAUGUAUAACUUGAUUAAUGAUAUUAAUUAAGUUUUAUGCUGUCUUUCAUAGACUGUUUUCAAUUGAGUAUUAAUGAAUAAAAAU